rnacentral:rRNA from 1 species
GACGAACGCUGGCGGCGUGCCUAAUACAUGCCAGUCGAGCGAAGUUUUUCUGGUGCUUGCACUAGAAAAACUUAGCGGCGCACGGGUGAGUAACACGUAAAGAACCUGCCUCAUAGACUGGGACAACUAUUGGAAACGAUAGCUAAUACCGGAUAACAGUAUUUCUCGCAUGAGAGAUAUUUAAAAGUUGGUUAUGCUAACACUAUGAGAUGGCUUUGCGGUGCAUUAGCUAGUUGGUGGGGUAAAGGCCCACCAAGGCGACGAUGCAUAGCCGACCUGAGAGGGUGAUCGGCCACACUGGGACUGAGACACGGCCCAGACUCCUACGGGAGGCAGCAGUAGGGAAUCUUCCGCAAUGGGCGAAAGCCUGACGGAGCAACGCCGCGUGAGUGAAGAAGGAUUUCGGUUCGUAAAGCUCUGUUGUUAGGGAAGAAUGGAUAUGUAGUAACUAUACAUGUAAGAGACGGUACCUAACCAGAAAGCCACGGCUAACUACGUG